rnacentral:rRNA from 1 species
UUUUAUUUGAGAGUUUGAUCCUGGCUCAGGAUGAACGCUGGCGGCGUGCCUAACACAUGCAAGUUGAGCGAUUUACUUCGGUAAAGAGCGGCGGACGGGUGAGUAACGCGUGGGUAACCUACCCUGUACACACGGAUAACAUACCGAAAGGUAUGCUAAUACGGGAUAAUAUAUUUGAGAGGCAUCUCUUAAAUAUCAAAG